AGUUAACCUAUACAUAAUAAACAGGAAGUAGUAAAAAUGGCAGAAGUAACACAGCUUCUUGAUCAAGAAAUCCCAGAAGGUCGCCAACAUCUACAAGAAAGUUAUAUAAAUCUUGACAAAGUUGCACAGUAUUGUAGGGACAAUUAUCUAAAGGUAGUCCCUUAUUUCUUCAAAAACGCCAGUUGUCUGCGAACAACACAGGCUCACAGCUUCCUAUUCUGACUGGCCUCAUAAAUAGCAUAAUUGUUAAUUCACUCUUGAAGGGGUUCUCAUUUUGGGGUCUGGUCCAGGAUCCCGCUUAUUGUUUAAUAGUGAGAAUCCUGUAAUCUUUUGAGAAUCCUGUGUACUUCUCGUUGCCAAAAUAGCGCAUGUAAUUUCCUGUGUCCCGCAGGACUUCAUAUCCUGUUUUCCGCUUAAUGAUUCUACUUUCACACGUCACACGUAAAAAUGACCAAUCCCGCCUCACACUUAGACCCCAA
rnacentral:lncRNA from 1 species